AACAAGACAGAAGAUAGUCAAUCUUACUGUCGCGCAUACCUGAAGCGGGUCUGCCGCCUUCGUUUCUCUUUCUUCGCGAAUGACUAACCUCCCUUUGGCUAUGCCCACAAGGCGUGCCUUGCCGGUGCAAAUGGUGCCAGCAGGGUUCGGUUUAGGGCUUGUAGCUCAGUUGGUUAGAGCGCGCGCUUGAUAAGCGUGAGGUCGGAGGUUCAAGUCCUCCCAGGCCCACCAUUAACAGUGCAACCCGAAGGGUUGUCGCUGCCGGUCACUACGAUCGGGAGGCUAUCAGGGGCCGUAGCUCAGCUGGGAGAGCGCCUGCUUUGCAAGCAGGAUGUCGUCGGUUCGAUCCCGUCCGGCUCCACCAACACGCGAUCCGCAGGAUCGCGCUUAGGUGUUGAGUAGAGAUUGAGGGGAAAGUCAUUCGAAAAUGAGUUUGCGGCGAGCUUAGCGCUCCCCGCCUGUUCUGUUUGACAUCGUAAAGAGAAGAUUUGUUCGAACUUCAUGGUCCGCGAGGAUCGUGAUUUGUCGCAAGGGAUGCUCAAUCCCUUGCCUAUGAUGGGUAAGCCUAACCGCGCCCUCGAACCGAUCUCGAGAAGCUGGUCUUUUUGUG
rnacentral:tRNA from 1 species